GACGAACCGUGCGAACGUUAUUCGGAAUCACUGGGCUUAAAGCGCGUGUAGGCGGAUGGGAACGUCGGUAGUUGAAAGCCCCCGGCUCAACCGGGGAAGUGGUGCCGAAACGACCCGUCUGGAGGGACGUAGGGGGACCUGGAACUUCCGGUGGAGCGGUGAAAUGCGUUGAGAUCGGAAGGAACGCCCGUGGCGAAAGCAGUGUCCUGGCUGGUGACUGACGCUGAGGUGCGAAAGCUAGGGGAGCGAACGGG
rnacentral:rRNA from 1 species